rnacentral:tRNA from 1 species
ACAAAAGUGGCAGAUAAGUGCAUUAGAUUUAAGCUCUAAACAUAAAGAUUAUAAAUUCUUUUUUUUGUA